GACGAACGCUGGCGGCGUGCUUAACACAUGCAAGUCGAACGGUGAAGCGCCUUCCUUUUUGGUGGGUGUGGAUGAGUGGCGAACGGGUGAGUAACACGUGAGUAACCUGCCCCCUUCUUCUGGAUAACCGCAUGAAAGUGUGGCUAAUACGGGAUAUUCUGGGUCUGUCGCAUGAUGGGUCUGGGAAAGAUAUUGUUUCGGUGGGGGAUGGGCUCGCGGCCUAUCAGCUUGUUGGUGGGGUGAUGGCCUACCAAGGCGGUGACGGGUAGCCGGCCUGAGAGGGUGGACGGUCACACUGGGAAUGAGACACGGCCCAGACUCCUACGGGAGGCAGCAGUGGGGAAUAUUGCACAAUGGGCGCAAGCCUGAUGCAGCGACGCCGCGUGAGGGAUGGAGGCCUUCGGGUUGUGAACCUCUUUCGCCAGUGAAGCAGGCCUGCCUCGUUUGUGGGUGGGUUGACGGUAGCUGGAGAAGAAGCGCCGGCUAACUACGUG
rnacentral:rRNA from 1 species